rnacentral:rRNA from 1 species
UACGUAGGGGGCAAGCGUUGUCCGGAAUCAUUGGGCGGAAAGAGCGUGUAGGCGGCUUGGUAAGUCCGCUGUGAAAGUCCAGGGCUCAACCCUGGAAUGCCGGUGGAAACUGUCAAGCUUGAGUCCGGAAGAGGCGAGUGGAAUUCCUGGUGUAGCGGUGAAAUGCGCAGAUAUCAGGAGGAACACCAAUGGCGAAGGCAGCUCGCUGGGACGGUACUGACGCUGAGACACGAAAGCCAGGGGAGCGAACGGG